CUUCUAAGUCCUAUGUCUGGGGCCCUCGACACAAGAAAGAUGUGGAGUGUUUGGAGAGGGUCCAGAGGAGGGCCACAAAGAUGAUCCACGGGUUGGAGCACCUAUCCUAUGAAGGCAGACUGAAGGAACUGGGCUUGUUCAGCCUGGAACAGAGAAGGCUGCAGGGAGACCUCAUUGCAGCCUUCCACAGCAAACAAGAAUGAGAAAACAAACAUUUAGUACAAAAAGGACUGAAGAUAAUUCCUCAGGGUGGAGAAGCAGCUGAAGGGCUGACGCUGGUCCUCCUGUGCCUGCUUAAGAUGGAAGGUGGCUCAUGGGAAUGGUAAUGCAACAACAACAAAACACAAAUACUUUUGUUAAGGUGACUGAUCUUCAUGGUUGAGAAAUAAAUGCUUGGGAAGCCAGCAUUCCCCCUUUGGGAGAGCCAUUAUUUACUGUCAUUUUGAUGACCUUCAUGUGAUGAUUAGAUCAGGAUUGGCAAGCUAUCACAGUAAAUUCAAGUGGAAGAUGGGAUCUGAAGUACUGUGCAAACUUGUGUUGCUACAGAAUCAGAAUCAUUAGAAAGCUAUUUGUUUGUUUGUUGGCUAGUUUGUUUAAUAUUUGGCUUACUAUAACUUAUCUGAUGUAAAUACAGAGGUG
rnacentral:lncRNA from 1 species